rnacentral:rRNA from 1 species
UACCAUGCAGUCGACGAUGAACCUCACUUGUGGGGGGAUUAGUGGCGAACGGGUGAGUAACACGUGAGUAACCUGCCCUUGACUCUGGGAUAAGCCUGGGAAACCGGGUCUAAUACUGGAUACGACCUUCUGGCGCAUGCCAUGUUGGUGGAAAGCUUUUGUGGUUUUGGAUGGACUCGCGGCCUAUCAGCUUGUUGGUGGGGUAAUGGCCUACCAAGGCGACGACGGGUAGCCGGCCUGAGAGGGUGACCGGCCACACUGGGACUGAGACACGGCCCAGACUCCUACGGGAGGCAGCAGUGGGGAAUAUUGCACAAUGGGCGCAAGCCUGAUGCAGCGACGCCGCGUGAGGGAUGAAGGCCUUCGGGUUGUAAACCUCUUUCAGUAGGGAAGAAGCCGGCCCUUGGGUUGGUGACGGUACCUGCAGAAGAAGCGCCGGCUAACUACGUGCCAGCAGCC